rnacentral:rRNA from 1 species
CGGUCGGUCACACUGACACUGAAUAACGGGUCAGACUCCUACGGGAGGCAGCAGUCGGGAAUUUUGGGCAAUGGGCGAAAGCCUGACCCAGCAACGCCGCGUGAAGGAUGAAGUAUUUCGGUAUGUAAACUUCGAAAGAAUAGGAAGAAUAAAUGACGGUACUAUUUAUAAGGUCCGGCUAACUACGUGCCAGCAGCCGCGGUAAUACGUAGGGACCAAGCGUUGUUCGGAUUUACUGGGCGUAAAGGGUGCUCAGGUGGACUUUUAAGUCAGAGGUGAAAUCCCAAAGCUUAACUUUGGAGCUGCCUUUGAUACUGAAAGUCUAGAGUUUGAGAGAGGGCAAUGGAAUAUCUGGUGUAGCAGUGAAAUGCGUAGAUAUCAGAUAGAACACCAAUGGCGAAGGCAGUUGCCUGGCUCAAAACUGACGCUAAAGCACGAAAGUGUGGGGAGCAAACAGGAUUAGAAACCCUGGUAGUCCAUGCCGUAAACGAUGCCAGCUGGGUGUUUGGGUUGCGAAAGCAACCUGGGUACCGAAGUCAACACGGUAAGCUGGCCGCCUGGGGAGUACGGUCGCAAGAUUAAAACUCAAGGAAUUGACGGGGGCCCGCACAAGCAGCGGAGCGUGUGGUUUAAUUCGAGGCUACACGAGAAUCUUACCUGGGU